AACCUUAUGUUUACUUAUAAGGCGAUUUCUGCCCAAUGAUUUAUUUUAAUGGCCGCAGUACCUUGACUGUGCUAAGGUAGCAUAAUAAAUUGGCUUUUAAAUGGAGUCUAGAAUGAAAGGAUAUUUAAGUAAAAGCUGUCUUUUUUUUUUAUUUUGAAGUUAUUUAUUAGGUGAAAAGACCUAUAUUUUAAGAAAGACGAGAAGACCCUUAGAAUUUUUAAAAUUAUUUAGUUGUUUUUUGUUGGGGUGACACAUUUACAGAUCAACUUUUUUCUUUUACAUGACAGUAUUUUCUUGAAAGAUAAAAUUACCUUAGGGAUAACAGCAUAAUUUUUUUUUAAGAUUGUGACCUCGAUGUUGGACUAGGGACCAAAUUAAUAAGAAAUUAAUUUGUUUAGUUCUGUUCGAACUUUUUUUCCU
rnacentral:rRNA from 1 species